rnacentral:misc_RNA from 1 species
AAAAAAAAAAAAAUAAUUAAAAAAUUAAAAAAAAAAAACAGAAUUACCAUUUUUAAGGCAACAAACCAGGCAUUACACAGUACAAAGCUACCUGCACUCCCAGUUUGAAGCAGCUAUAAUGAUCAUGCAGAUACAAACAUUAAGAAAAUAGUAAUGUAAAUGAAUGACAUAUAAGAGAACAUAUAUUUCGAGGUUAUUUACGUGAACAGACAACUCUUCUCCCUCUUUUCUGGCCAUUAGUUAAUACCUAAACUCACAUAAUGUAAUUUUACACAAAAUCCAAAACUUACCCAAGUCCACCAAAUGAACAAAAUAGGAUUUGCACUUCCGGGUUCAAUGAGUCCAAAAUUUAUCUAGGACCUAAUUACAUCAUUAAACUUCACUAGAAUAACCUAGGUAUAUUCCAUGAGAUCAAUAAACAAAUAGUAAAUAGGAGUCUAUAGAAAAUGAAACAUAUCAGGCUUUACUUCGCGUGUUACAGCCUCAAGCGUACACACUUGAAUGCAAUUCAAGAAAUACCCAUUUAUAUUUGUAUCAAUACAUGAAGCACACAUUGAAAGGCACAAAAUGUAGGCCCAUAUAUAGGUACACUAUCAAAAGUUAAAUUAUAUACAUAACAAACAUACUUGUUUAUAAUUGUUGCAAAA